CCUACGGGAGGCAGCAGUGGGGAAUAUUGCACAAUGGGGGAAACCCUGAUGCAGCGACGUCGCGUGAGUGAAGAAGUAAUUCGUUAUUUACAGCUCUUUCAGCCGGGAAGAAAAUGACGGUACCUGUGUAAGACGCCCCGGCUCCCUACGUGCCAGCACCCGCGGUUAUACGUAGGGGGCAAGCGUUAUCCGGAUUUACUGGGUGUAAAGGGAGCGUAGGCGGCAGUGCAAGUCUGGAGUGAAAGGCGGGGGCUCAACCCCCGGACUGCUGUGGAAACUGGACGGCUGGAGUGCAGGAGAGGUAAGUGGAAUUCCUGGUGUAGCGGUGAAAUGCGUAGAUAUUAGGAGGAACACCAGUGGCGAAGGCGGCUUACUGGACUGUAACUGACGUUGAGGCUCGAAAGCGUGGGGAGCAAACAGGAUUAGAUACCCGAGUAGUC
rnacentral:rRNA from 1 species